rnacentral:rRNA from 1 species
GACGAACGCUGGCGGCGUGCUUAACACAUGCAAGUCGAACGGUGAUGCUCCAGCUAGCUGGAGUGGAUCAGUGGCGAACGGGUGAGUAACACGUGAGCAACCUGCCCCAGACUCUGGAAUAAGCGCUGGAAACGGCGUCUAAUACUGGAUACGAAACUGGCCCGCAUGGGCAUGGUUUGGAAAGUUUUUCGGUUUGGGAUGGGCUCGCGGCCUAUCAGCUUGUUGGUGAGGUAAUGGCUCACCAAGGCGACGACGGGUAGCCGGCCUGAGAGGGCGACCGGCCACACUGGGACUGAGACACGGCCCAGACUCCUACGGGAGGCAGCAGUGGGGAAUAUUGCACAAUGGGCGAAAGCCUGAUGCAGCGACGCCGCGUGAGGGAUGACGGCCUUCGGGUUGUAAACCUCUUUCAGCAGGGAAGAAGCGAAAGUGACGGUACCUGCAGAAGAAGCACCGGCUAACUACGUG